rnacentral:rRNA from 1 species
GGGGGACCAUCCUCCAAGGCUAAAUACUCCUGACUGACCGAUAGUGAACCAGUACCGUGAGGGAAAGGCGAAAAGAACCCCGGCGAGGGGAGUGAAAAAGAACCUGAAACCGUGUACGUACAAGCAGUGGGAGCCUCUUAAUGGGGUGACUGCGUACCUUUUGUAUAAUGGGUCAGCGACUUAUAUUCUGUAGCAAGGUUAACCGAAUAGGGGAGCCGAAGGGAAACCGAGUCUUAACUGGGCGUUAAGUUGCAGGGUAUAGACCCGAAACCCGGUGAUCUAGCCAUGGGCAGGUUGAAGGUUGGGUAACACUAACUGGAGGACCGAACCGACUAAUGUUGAAAAAUUAGCGGAUGACUUGUGGCUGGGGGUGAAAGGCCAAUCAAACCGGGAGAUAGCUGGUUCUCCCCGAAAGCUAUUUAGGUAGCGCCUCGUGAAUUCAUCUCCGGGGGUAGAGCACUGUUUCGGCAAGGGGGUCAUCCCGACUUACCAACCCGAUGCAAACUGCGAAUACCGGAGAAUGUUAUCACGGGAGACACACGGCGGGUGCUAACGUCCGUCGUGAAGAGGGAAACAACCCAGACCGCCAGCUAAGGUCCCAAAGUCAUGGUUAAGUGGGAAACGAUGUGGGAAGGCCCAGACAGCCAGGAUGUUGGCUUAGAAGCAGCCAUCAUUUAAAGAAAGCGUAAUAGCUCACUGGUCGAGUCGGCCUGCGCGGAAGAUGUAACGGGGCUAAACCAUGCACCGAAGCUGCGGCAGCGACACUAUGUGUUGUUGGGUAGGGGAGCGUUCUGUAAGCCUGUGAAGGUGGCCUGUGAGGGUUGCUGGAGGUAUCAGAAGUGCGAAUGCUGACAUAAGUAACGAUAAAGCGGGUGAAAAGCCCGCUCGCCGGAAGACCAAGGGUUCCUGUCCAACGUUAAUCGGGGCAGGGUGAGUCGACCCCUAAGGCGAGGCCGAAAGGCGUAGUCGAUGGGAAACAGGUUAAUAUUCCUGUACUUGGUGUUACUGCGAAGGGGGGACGGAGAAGGCUAUGUUGGCCGGGCGACGGUUGUCCCGGUUUAAGCGUGUAGGCUGGUUUUCCAGGCAAAUCCGGAAAACCAAGGCUGAGGCGUGAUGACGAGGCACUACGGUGCUGAAGCGACAAAUGCCCUGCUUCCAGGAAAAGCCUCUAAGCAUCAGGUAACAUCAAAUCGUACCCCAAACCGACACAGGUGGUCAGGUAGAGAAUACCAAGGCGCUUGAGAGAACUCGGGUGAAGGAACUAGGCAAAAUGGUGCCGUAACUUCGGGAGAAGGCACGCUGAUAUGUAGGUGAAGCGACUUGCUCGUGGAGCUGAAAUCAGUCGAAGAUACCAGCUGGCUGCAACUGUUUAUUAAAAACACAGCACUGUGCAAACACGAAAGUGGACGUAUACGGUGUGACGCCUGCCCGGUGCCGGAAGGUUAAUUGAUGGGGUUAGCGGUAACGCGAAGCUCUUGAUCGAAGCCCCGGUAAACGGCGGCCGUAACUAUAACGGUCCUAAGGUAGCGAAAUUCCUUGUCGGGUAAGUUCCGACCUGCACGAAUGGCGUAAUGAUGGCCAGGCUGUCUCCACCCGAGACUCAGUGAAAUUGAACUCGCUGUGAAGAUGCAGUGUACCCGCGGCAAGACGGAAAGACCCCGUGAACCUUUACUAUAGCUUGACACUGAACAUUGAGCCUUGAUGUGUAGGAUAGGUGGGAGGCUUUGAAGUGUGGACGCCAGUCUGCAUGGAGCCGACCUUGAAAUACCACCCUUUAAUGUUUGAUGUUCUAACGUUGGCCCGUAAUCCGGGUUGCGGACAGUGUCUGGUGGGUAGUUUGACUGGGGCGGUCUCCUCCUAAAGAGUAACGGAGGAGCACGAAGGUUGGCUAAUCCUGGUCGGACAUCAGGAGGUUAGUGCAAUGGCAUAAGCCAGCUUGACUGCGAGCGUGACGGCGCGAGCAGGUGCGAAAGCAGGUCAUAGUGAUCCGGUGGUUCUGAAUGGAAGGGCCAUCGCUCAACGGAUAAAAGGUACUCCGGGGAUAACAGGCUGAUACCGCCCAAGAGUUCAUAUCGACGGCGGUGUUUGGCACCUCGAUGUCGGCUCAUCACAUCCUGGGGCUGAAGUAGGUCCCAAGGGUAUGGCUGUUCGCCAUUUAAAGUGGUACGCGAGCUGGGUUUAGAACGUCGUGAGACAGUUCGGUCCCUAUCUGCCGUGGGCGCUGGAGAACUGAGGGGGGCUGCUCCUAGUACGAGAGGACCGGAGUGGACGCAUCACUGGUGUUCGGGUUGUCAUGCCAAUGGCACUGCCCGGUAGCUAAAUGCGGAAGAGAUAAGUGCUGAAAGCAUCUAAGCACGAAACUUGCCCCGAGAUGAGUUCU